GAAAGACAUCAGCGCCGACGUCGGAGAGCCUCUAAAGUUUGCACAUCCACAUUGCCUUUAUCUCCAUCUUCCCUUCACUUUCUUUCUCUUCUUCUCCUUUCCCUUCUCAGAUCCGACCUGACAUGGCUCCUCCACCACCAAAGCGACUGACCACGACCACUACAAGCCCAAUUAGAGCCACCGAUUGUUCCACAAUCUCCGCCCAUCUCGUUCUCUCUCUCCUCUCCCACGGGUCUCUCUCUCAUACCCGUCAAUCCAUUCGUUUCUCCCUCUCCCCUUCAGGCCAGAGUACAGCUCGUCUCUCCUCUCUUUUUCUAUCACCACCACCGAACUCUCUCUUCCUCUCACCACCACCGCUUCCCUUUAAUAUCACAACCAAUUCUUUGUUUCCUAAUGAUCUACAUGUGGUGGUGCUGGUGAUCUUUCUUCCUCCAUGACGUCUCCUCCAUCUCCUCUUUCCUUUCCUUUUCUCUUCCUUUCUCUUCUCCGAUGUAGUUUGGCUCUUUCUCUAUGAUGGAUCUGUUGGCCACAUCUUAACCCUUUCUUUCCUUUGAUGGCUCGGGUCUGGCUCACAAACUCACCACAAUCUCUUUCUUCUCCACCACGUCUCAUGACGAUGGCUCAAGAUGGAGGCAGCAACAAGAUGCA
rnacentral:lncRNA from 1 species